rnacentral:sRNA from 1 species
UGAAAAGAAGAAGAAAAAAGAAU